rnacentral:rRNA from 1 species
CGUAGGUGGCAAGCGUUGUCCGGAUUUACUGGGCGUAAAGCGUAUGCAGGCGGAUACUUAAGUAGGAAGUGAAAGGUGGGAGCUCAACUCCCACAUUGCUCCCUAUACUGGGUGUCUUGAGUGGCGGAGAGGGAGAUGGAACGACACGUGUAGCGGUGAAAUGCGUUGAUAUGUGUCGGAACACCAAUGGCGAAAGCAAUCUCCUGGACGCAAACUGACGCUGAGAUACGAAAGCCAAGGUAGCAAACAGGAUUAGAUACUCUGGUAGUCUUGGCCAUAAACGAUGUUCACUAGGUGUUGGGGCUUUGCCUCGGUGCCGCAGCUAACGCAUUAAGUGAACCGCCUGGGAACUACGAUCGCAAGAUUA